GCCUGGGUGGCUCAGUCGAUUAAGCAUCUGAUUUCGGCUCAGGUCAUCAUCUCACAGUCCGUGGGUUCGAGCCCCGCGUCAGGCU
rnacentral:tRNA from 1 species